GACUAAAUAUGCCGGACUAGCACCAACAUUGCUAGCUACGGUAUCUAAAAUAUGGUGCAUCAAGGCUAACGUCAACUACCGCUAGCUACAGUAUUCUAUCAAAAAUUUUUCCCAUAAAAUCUUAUUGUCAUCUGCCCAAAACAUAAUUUAUAUCUCAUUUUCUCAUGCAGAGAUAACCAAACGAAACUCAUCGUCAAUAUCAUCUUUCCAAACAUAUUCACUGUUUUCAUGUUCUCUUUUUUUUUUAUCAAUAGUUAAUGGUAUUCAUAUCAUAUGUCCAAA
rnacentral:lncRNA from 1 species